rfam:Homo sapiens chromosome 1, GRCh38 reference primary assembly.
UAGAUUGAAGCCAGUUGAUUAGGGUAUUUAGCUGUUAACUAAGUUUUCAUGGGUUUGAAUCCCACCGAUCUAG